UUGUCGGGUUUUGGCUGAUGCCCUGCAAAGAUCAGCUGCUGAUUUUCUGUUUUAUUUAUUGUAGCUGACCGAGAGACGGCAGCCUGGCGAUGGCAGGAACUUCCCAGAUGGCGAGGCGGCCUUCCUUGGUGCUCCAUGUUGAUCCACCCUGCCGGGCAUCUGAGAGCUAAGUCGAAGGCUAUGAAUUGCAGAGGGGAUGAAAGCGUGACCUGGGAUUAUGGAGUCAGCUUUGUUGAUGGGGAGGUCCAGGCUGUGGCCCCUUAGGCCACGUGAAGGGAGAGCCUCACAUUUGUUCACAGUGCUGAGGUGCGCAGGACAGAGCAGUCCCGGGGCGUGUCCCAUCACUUGUCCAUCGUGCCUUCUGUGUCUUUUGUGCCUCUCGUGUUGUACGUGCCUCGCCUUAUCUCUUCUGGGGGCUUACCAGAAACCCCAGCAUCACUCCUCGCAUCUCUGAUCUCUGGGCUCCUCAGCCCGACACCAUCGAAGCUUUGCCUCUGGAGCUCUCAGAGGUCUUGGAAUCGCGUUUCUCUUGAAAAGCAUCCGAUCGGAUGUCUUUUAGAGGUCUCGUUCCGAGCUGUGUCGACAGCCGUGCGCCGCGAGGAUCCAUUGCUGCGGCUUAGGUCUUGAAGAAACGCAGAGAUAGGUAGGGGGCUGUGGCCCUCAGAUUCUCGGGCAUCCGUCUUGGCAGUUGCUGGAGUUUGUCAUUCCAUCAGCAUCUUCUUCCUCCCGGGUUCUGCGAGCUUCAUCAGCUCGCCUUCAUUCUCACCCGGCUCAUCUUGUUCCGCGUUCUCUCGGUCCUCGCGGCCGUUCUUGUGGCCCAGAGUUUUGUCUCCCCGUUGUGUCCCCUCGUCUGUUGUCUUGUGUGUCACGGGUGUCUGGGUGUAGUUGUCCCGGAGCUGCUCUGCCCUGCUGCCCAGCCUGGGUGUAGGUGUAAAAGGCCGAGUCCUAGGCCCCUGUAAUUUGAAAUUUGUCAUGUAGGGUGUAGUUGGAGUCUAGCGGGUGUUCCUAGAUUGACACAAGAUGUGUGGAGCUGUAAAGUUACCCUGCAGCACUUUGACUUUUGUCUCAGCUUUCUUUCAGAUGCGGACGGAUGAAAUCGGUGGCAGAGCGCCCCAUCCAGGGUAAGGGGGUUCCCGCGAGAAGGAAGUAGAGCCAGCUGGCAGCAGUCAAGGCGAAGUGGGCAAGGCGGUCCAGUCGCGUUUCCCCGAGACCCCCUCGCCAACCGGCCGGCACAGCUGCUUCGCCGCUCCCGUGAGCCCUACGGAAGCGUUAUGGAACCGUGUGACGGAGCCUUUUCCACGUAAAGGGGCUGUGUGGGUGGCCUUCAGGAAGGGGCCGAGGGGUUGCCGUGAGUUGGGGAUGUCGGGAGGAGGAGCGAGGGUCCCUUUGAG